CCGAUAAGAGUCUCAUGUUAACGCAGCACGUUAACGCCGAUAACGGCCCACUACUAAUAUAUACUGUAUGUGUGUGUAUAUAUAUACAUAUAUUGAAAUCAUAUGUAGUGAUUUAUUUAAAUCAUCAUUAAAUUUGAUUUCAGUCAAUUUAAAUUUUUAUAUAAAUGUGUAUAUAAAUUCCCCACUGAAUUUUACAGAUUAUGAUGCUGUCUGUUUUAAUAAUUUGACUUGUUGUUGGGAUUAUGCAGUUCAUGGUAAUAUUAUUAAUUCAAUUAAGUGAUUGAUUUUAAGGAUAUUUUUUAGCAUGAUAUCUAAUUAAAAAUCCUGUAUGAAUAAGGCCUUAAACAUUUCUUGAAAAUUGAGGGGGGGGGGGGUGUAUUUAUUUAUUUAUUUUAUUGUUAUUAUUAUUAUUAUAUUUAUUUUUUUAAGGAUAGGAAAAAUAGAAUAUGUGCACUCUAGGUCUAAUUCUAGUUGGGAAGUAAUCAUUUUGAACUAUUUGCAAAUAGUAUUUUAAGCACAUGCACUUUUAUUUGGACUCCUAAUAUGUUGAAAAUCCAAAAUGUUUCUUGUCUCGUCACAUUCAGCUAAGAAUUAACAGAUUUUCAAUUCAAAAGGGCCAUAUUUGAGAUAAAAAGCCAAGUCGUUUGCAUCCCGUUUAACAUUUCCAUCACAAACAAGCUCUCAAAUAUUAAAAGCUACUUCUAUCUUACCUCAUAUUCUUUCAAUGUUAAAACUGAUGCUUCACACUGGAAUUUGUGCUCUGCUUCUAUGAACUGUCAAGCCCCGCCUACUUUGAUUUGAUUGGCCGUCUCAAUCAUUUUGACGUUAAUGAGUGCUGAUGUGGCUUGUUUCCACUGAGCGGUACAGUCUACUACAGUACGGUAUGCGAUUAUGUCUAUUUCCAUUGCUAGAAUUUGUAAAUGGAACUAAAAUAGCGAACCAUAACGUACUGUACCACUUUUUUGGGACCCAUCCAUUGGGGUAGCUAAAGGGUUCACACUGGAAUUUGUGCUCUGCUUCUAUGAACUGUCAAGCCCCGCCUACUUUGAUUUGAUUGGCCGUCUCAAUCAUUUUGACGUUAAUGAGUGCUGAUGUGGCUUGUUUCCACUGAGCGGUACAGUCUACUACAGUACGGUAUGCGAUUAUGUCUAUUUCCAUUGCUAGAAUUUGUAAAUGGAACUAAAAUAGCGAACCAUAACGUACUGUACCACUUUUUUGGGACCCAUCCAUUGGGGUAGCUAAAGGGUGGAGCUAGACUCACUGCAGAAUGCUGAUUGGUUGACAGAGAAUCGUCACUUGCUACAAGGGGACGGGCUCAUGUGUGUUGUGCUUGUUUACAUCAGAGUGUGCAAACAUGGACCACUUCUUUCCAGCAUACACCACGCCUAUCAAGUAAUGCUACUGUUGGUGGUGGGAAUGCAAGCCGGAUCAGUGUCGUCCCGAAGCAGACUGUACUGAACUGAAACAAGCCAUUAGAUCGGCCUAAGAAUGUCACUUUCAACUUCAGAUAUUUCUGAAGAUUUCAGAUAUUGGGGUGGACAGUUGGGCCAUUUGUAAUCAUUGGGUGCCACAUUCUCAUUAGUAUCUUUAGUGGUUACAACCCUGGUCCCGAAGCGAAACCAGCUGAGAACAACUGAUCUAAAGCAUGCUGUUACUCAUCAUGGGGUGUUGUAGUUCCAAUCCUAAGGGUUGAUUAGCUGUUCUGUAACAUCUGUGUGUGUGUACUUAUCAGUCUUUUAAAUGUGUGUUGUUCUGCUCAGAUUGGUUGAACUCGAGCGAGUGAAUCAACUGGUAAUGCAUCAGUUCACUCACAAAACCAGCUCUAAAAGAGCUUUACUCCAGUGAUGGUUGUGUGUUUGAAUCUAUGCACGGCACUGACCAGCUAUUCUCCAGACCGGAGCGUUACAGUAUCUUCAUGACUUGAGACACAUUAAGCCUUAAACAAAUCAAUAAAUCUUCAUGCUGGUGAGAUUGUUACGGUGCCUCUGCCUGAAUUUCAGAUCUGCUUGUGUGUUUGUUAAAGGAAUAGUUCACCCAAAAAUGAAAAUUUGCUGAAAAUUUACUCGCCUUCAGGUGGUCCAAGAUGUAGAUGAGUUUGUUUCUUCAUCAGAUUUGGAGAAAUGUAGCAUUGCAUCACUUGCUCAG
rnacentral:lncRNA from 1 species